rnacentral:snRNA from 1 species
CAACUUCAUUGCACAAUAGAAA